CCUACGGGAGGCAGCAGUUAGGAAUAUUGGACAAUGGGCGCAAGCCUGAUCCAGCCAUGCCGCGUGAGUGAUGAAGGCCUUCGGGUUGUAAAACUCUUUAGCCGAUGAAUAUAAUGACUGUAGUCGGAAAAUAAGCCCCGGCUAACUUCGUGCCAGCAGCCGCGGUAAUACGAAGGGGGCGAGCGUUAUUCGGAAUCACUGGGCGUAAAGCGUGCGUAGGCGGUCCUAAAAGUUAGGAGUGAAAGCCCAGGGCUUAACCCUGGAAUUGCUCUUAAAACUAUAGGACUAGAAUUCGGGAGAGGAUAGCGGAAUUGUCAGUGUAGCAGUGAAAUGCGUAGAUAUUGACAGGAACACCAGUGGCGUAAGCGGCUAUCUGGACCGACAUUGACGCUGAGGCACGAAAGCGUGGGGAUCAAACAGGAUUAGAUACCCUGGUAGUCCACGCCGUAAACGAUGUGUGNUGUCGCGGACGGUCGUCUUCGUGACGCAGCUACGACGAUAGACACACCGCCGUCGGAGGUACGGUCGCGAGAAUAAACUAACAAUAGAAUAGACGGCGUGAGACGUGCGACGACGACGACGAGGGAGGAGG
rnacentral:rRNA from 1 species